rnacentral:lncRNA from 1 species
CCCGGGCCCCGCGGGCCUGCAGCGCCCCCGCACCCGGUUCCACGCGCCCAGGGCCGCCCCCGCGGAGAGAGGGGGCGCGAGGGGCGCGCCUCUCGCUCGGACACCCUCUCCCAGCUCGCGCCCCAGGUAACUUAAACCCAAUUAUAAAUGGCUUUGGCUAUAAAGUGUUCUUGAAUGAAAACGUUUAGGAAGUAGGCCUGGAUUCAGAUGCUUCAGAGGCUCAAAGGUUUUCUAAUUGUUUAUGGAGAAGAUUGAUCUUCACAAGCUAGUUUUUUCAUAGGCAAAAGCAAAAGUCUCUUCCUGUGUUAUUAAGUGAAAAUGGCUGAUUAUAAAAAGGGGCUUACAAACAAUAUUUAACAAAUCUUCAUCAAGUCCCUACUCUGUGGCAGGCCCUGGGUCAGGAGGUUGCCGAUUCCAGGAAGAAUCAGACCUUAUCCCUGCCCUUGAGUCUCAAGAAGAGGAAAGGAAAACAAAUAAGCAUAGUACAGUGUGAAAAGUGGGACUGUGGUCAAAUUUCAGUCUGCAAACUCAGAAUGGAUGAAAUAUGAAAGACUGACAACAUCAAGUUGUCAAGUAGGACAGGAUGUGGAACCACUGGAACUCAUACGUGACUGAUGGGAAUGCAAAAUGAUACCGAUCCCUUGGAAAACUCCUUGGCAACUUUAAUAAACAUAAAUCUACCCUAUGAUCCAGAAAUUCCACUCUGAGUCACGUCUCCAAGAGCAAUGAAAAUAUAUACCCACAAAAGACUGCACAUAAAUCAGAACAGCAUUGUUGAUAAUAGCCCAAACUGGAAACAACCUAAAUAUUCACCAAUAGAAGCCUGAAUAAAUUCAUACUGUGGGAUACUCUACAGCAAUGAGAUCAUGAAAGAUAGUGUGGCUUCCACUUUGGUCUCUUAUAUCACCUACUGGGGGAAGCCAGCUGCCAUGUUGUGAGGACACUCAAGAAGCUCUGUGGAGAGGCUCUUUUGAAGGAGAACCAAUGCCUCCCACCAACAGCCAGCAUCAACUUGGGACAUGUGAGUGAACCAAUUGGAAGUGGAUCCUCCAGCCAAGUCAAGCCUUCAGAUGACUGAAGCCCCAGCCUCAUGAGAGAUAGCAGGCUAAAACUGCCCAGCUAAGCUGCUCCUGAAAUCCUGACCCCCCAAAUUAUAAAAGACAAUAAAUUAUUAUUGUUGUUUUAAGCCA